GAUAUUGGACACCUGCAGGCAGUGAAGAACACUUCAUGCCAAAUCUCUGCUCUCAAUCAGAUUGACAGAUACCCACAAGACUACCUCCGUUGGUACCACUUCCAGAGACGGGCAGUCCAGCGCCACACAUCUGCAAGGAGAAAAUGUUGGGGAUCUUUGCCUGCCUCACGAGAGAAUCAAAGAAUGUCUCCACAGAACUUGAAGGCUUGAAGGUGUUGAAAAACAAAACAAAAACCAAAAGAAUUGCAGAAGUAUUCAUUAAAAAGUUUCUUUGCAGAAAUGAGCAAAUCAUUCAAACAAGACCACUUUUCACAAGUAAAUUGAAUUUCUGACAACCAAGUGAUGAAAAUUCUAGAUACAAUAAGUCAUUAAAAAACCCAACAUCUGUCA